rnacentral:rRNA from 1 species
CUAAGAAUAUUCCGCAAUGGACGAAAGUCUGACGGAGCGACGCCGCGUGGAUGAUGAAGGCCGUGAGGUUGUAAAAUCCUUUUGCUGGGGAAGAAUAAGCGUGGGAGGGAAUGCCCGCGUGAUGACAUGAACCGGCGAAUAAGCCCCGGCUAACUACGUGCCAGCAGCCGCGGUAACACGUAGGGGGCAAGCGUUGUUCGGAAUUACUGGGCGUAAAGGGCAUGUAGGCGGUCCUGUAAGCCUGGCGUGAAAGGCUGCGGCUCAACCGCAGCACUGCGCUGGGAACUGCAAGACUUGAGUCACGGAGGGGAAGCUAGAAUUCCGGGUGUAGGGGUGAAAUCUGUAGAUAUCCGGAAGAAUACCAGUGGCGAAGGCGAGCUUCUGGCCGAUGACUGACGCU